ACUGUGUGUUGUUGGGUAGGGGAGCGUUCUGUAAGCCUGUGAAGGUGGCCUGUGAGGGUUGCUGGAGGUAUCAGAAGUGCGAAUGCUGACAUAAGUAACGAUAAAGCGGGUGAAAAGCCCGCUCGCCGGAAGACCAAGGGUUCCUGUCCAACGUUAAUCGGGGCAGGGUGAGUCGACCCCUAAGGCGAGGCCGAAAGGCGUAGUCGAUGGGAAACAGGUUAAUAUUCCUGUACUUGGUGUUACUGCGAAGGGGGGACGGAGAAGGCUAUGUUGGCCGGGCGACGGUUGUCCCGGUUUAAGCGUGUAGGUGUGUGUUCCAGGUAAAUCCGGUUCACUUUAACACUGAGGCGUGAUGACGAGGCACUACGGUGCUGAAGCAACAAAUGCCCUGCUUCCAGGAAAAGCCUCUAAGCAUCAGGUAACAUCAAAUCGUACCCCAAACCGACACAGGUGGUCAGGUAGAGAAUACCAAGGCGCUUGAGAGAACUCGGGUGAAGGAACUAGGCAAAAUGGUGCCGUAACUUCGGGAGAAGGCACGCUGACAC
rnacentral:rRNA from 1 species